GACGAACGCUGGCGGCGUGCUUAACACAUGCAAGUCGAACGGAAAGGCCCUGCUGUUGUGGGGUGCUCGAGUGGCGAACGGGUGAGUAACACGUGAGUAACCUGCCCUUGACUUGGGGAUAACUUCAGGAAACUGGGGCUAAUACCGGAUAGGAGCGCCUGCAGCACGGUGGGGGGGGGAAAGUUGCGGCGGUCGGGGAUGGACUCGCGGCUUAUCAGCGUGUGGGGGGGGUAGUGGCUUACCAAGGCUUUGACGGGUCGCCGGCCUGAGAGGGUGACCGGCCACAUUGGGCCUACGAUAGGGACCAGACUCCUACGGGGGGCAGCAGUGGGGAAUCUUGCGCAAUGGUGGGACGCCUGAUGCAGCAACGCCGCGUGCGUGAUGACCGCCUUCGGGUUGUAAACCGCUUUCGCCUGUGACGAAGCGUGAGUGACGGUAAUGGGUAAAGAAGCACCGGCUAACUACGUG
rnacentral:rRNA from 1 species